rnacentral:rRNA from 1 species
UACGUAGGGACCAAGCGUUGUUCGGAUUUACUGGGCGUAAAGGGCGCGUAGGCGGCAAUUCAAGUCAGCUGUGAAAUCUCCGGGCUUAACUCGGAACGGUCAGCUGAUACUGCUUUGCUAGAGUGCAGAAGGGGCAAUCGGAAUUCUCGGUGUAGCGGUGAAAUGCGUAGAUAUCGAGAGGAACACCUGAGGUGAAGACGGGUUGCUGGGCUGACACUGACGCUGAGGCGCGAAAGCCAGGGUAG